AGAAUCAACGCUGGGCGGCGUGCCUAACACAUGCAAGUCGAACGAGAAAGUGGGAGCAAUCCCACGAGUAAAGUGGCGCACGGGUGAGUAACACGUGACUAACCUACCCUUGAGUGGGGGAUAACCUAGGGAACCUGGGCUAAUACCGCAUAAUACCUACGGGUCAAAGGAGCAAUUCGCUUUAGGAGGGGGUCGCGGCAGAUUAGUUAGUUGGCGGGGUAAUGGCCCACCAAGACAGUGAUCUGUAUCCGGCCUGAGAGGGCGCACGGACACACUGGAACUGAAACACGGUCCAGACUCCUACGGGAGGCAGCAGUGGGGAAUUUUGCGCAAUGGGGGAAACCCUGACGCAGCAACGCCGCGUGGAGGAUGAAGCCCCUUGGGGCGUAAACUCCUUUCGAUCGGGAAGAUAAUGACGGUACCGGAAGAAGAAGCCCCGGCUAACUUCGCGCCAGCAGCCGC
rnacentral:rRNA from 1 species